UCCACACCUGUGGCGUCCCCACCCAAAGAACUAUGCCAAUGAACUGGAAGGAACUCCACUCUGCUUACUUUCCCGUCAUCUAAAGAUUUCUUGAAAUGUGUCCGCAGCAAUUUGAGAGAAACCACCCUAAAAUCAUCCACACACUCAAUAAUGCUCCUAAAGCGUAAGUCACACACAGGUCCAAUGCCAUGCACCACAAACACCAAAUGGUCAACUUGAGGCAUCUCCCCGUCGGGAAUUUCAUCAAGGUUAUCAUCAAUUCCACGCUUUA
rnacentral:lncRNA from 1 species